rnacentral:rRNA from 1 species
AUGAACGCUGGCGGCGUGCCUAAUACCUGCAAGUCGCGCGCACGGACGAGAAGCUUGCUUCUCUGAUGUUCGCGGCGGACGGGUGAGUAACACGUGGAUAACCUACCUAUAAGACUGGGAUAACUUCGGGAAACCGGAGCUAAUACCGGAUCAUAUUUUGAACCGCAUGGUUCCAAAGUGAAAGACGGUCUUGCUGUCACUUAUAGAUGGAUCCGCGCUGCAUUAGCUAGUUGGUAAGGUAACGGCUUACCAAGGCAACGAUGCAUAGCCGACCUGAGAGGGUGAUCGGCCACACUGGAACUGAGACACGGUCCAGACUCCUACGGGAGGCAGCAGUAGGGAAUCUUCCGCAAUGGGCGAAAGCCUGACGGAGCAACGCCGCGUGAGUGAUGAAGGUCUUCGGAUCGUAAAACUCUGUUAUUAGGGAAGAACAUAUGUGUAAGUAACUGUGCACAUCUUGACGGUACCUAAUCAGAAAGCCACGGCUAACUACGUG